GAUGAACGCUAGCGGCAGGCUUAAUACAUGCAAGUCGAACGGGAUUCGGGGUAGCAAUACUUUGAUGAGAGUGGCGCACGGGUGCGUAACGCGUAUGCAACCUACCUUUAACAGGUGAAUAGCCCCGAGAAAUCGGGAUUAAUACACCGUAACAUUGCGCUGUGGCAUCACAGUGCAAUUAAAGAUUUAUCGGUUAAAGAUGGGCAUGCGUGACAUUAGCUAGUUGGUGAGGUAACGGCUCACCAAGGCAACGAUGUCUAGGGGUCCUGAGAGGGUUAUCCCCCACACUGGUACUGAGACACGGACCAGACUCCUACGGGAGGCAGCAGUAAGGAAUAUUGGUCAAUGGGCGCAAGCCUGAACCAGCCAUGCCGCGUGCAGGAAGACGGCCCUAAUGGGGGUUUGUAAAACUGCUUUUGUCAGGGAAUAAACCUGUCUACGAGUAGACAGCUGAAGGUACCUGAAGAAUAAGCAAUCGGCUAACUCCGUGCCAGCAG
rnacentral:rRNA from 1 species